CAGUCGCCACGGUAAUACGAAGGGUGCAAGCGUUACUCGGAAUUACUGGGCGUAAAGCGUGCGUAGGUGGUGGUUUAAGUCCGUUGUGAAAGCCCUGGGCUCAACCUGGGAAUUGCAGUGGAUACUGGGUCACUAGAGUGUGGUAGAGGAUAGUGGAAUUUCCGGUGUAGCAGUGAAAUGCGUAGAGAUCGGAAGGAACAUCUGUGGCGAAGGCGACUAUCUGGGCCAACACUGACACUGAGGCACGAAAGCGUGGGGAGCAAACAGGAUUAGAUACCCGAGUAGUCCCUGUCUCUUAUAA
rnacentral:rRNA from 1 species